UGGAUCCAGACUUUGAUUAUGGCUCAGGACGAACGCUGGCGGCGCGCUUAAAACAUGCAAGUCGAACGGAGUGAUUCGGGAAGAAGUUUUCGGACGGAAGACUGAAUGACUUAGUGGCGGACGGGUGAGUAACACGUGAGGGACCUGCCUUUCAGAGUGGGAUAACGUUUGGAAACGAACGCUAAUACCGCAUGACAUAUACCAUAGGCAUCUAAGGGAUAUCAGAGGAGAAAUCCGCUGAGAGAUGGCCUCGCGUCUGAUUAGGUAGUUGGUGAGGUAACGGCCCACCAAGCCUGCGAUCGGUAGCCGGACUGAGAGGUUGAUCGGCCACAUUGGGACUGAGACACGGCCCAGACUCCUACGGGAGGCAGCAGUUGGGGAUAUUGCACAAUGGGGGAAACCCUGAUGCAGCGACGCCGCGUGAGGGAAGAAGGUUUUCGGAUUGUAAACCUCUGUCCUCAGGGAAGAUAAUGACGGUACCUGAGGAGGAAGCCACGGCUAACUACGUGCCAGCAGCCGCGGUAAUACGUAGGUGGCAAGCGUUGUCCGGAAUUACUGGGUGUAAAGGGAGCGUAGGCGGUAUUGCAAGUUGAAUGUGAAAUCUAUCGGCUCAACUGAUAGGCUGCGUUCAAAACUGUAGUACUUGAGUGAAGUAGAGGCAGGCGGAAUUCCCGGUGUAGCGGUGGAAUGCGUAGAUAUCGGGAGGAACACCAGUGGCGAAGGCGGCCUGCUGGGCUUUAACUGACGCUGAGGCUCGAAAGCAUGGGGAGCAAACAGGAUUAGAUACCCUGGUAGUCCAUGCCGUAAACGAUGAUUACUAGGUGUGGGUCAGCAAUGGUCCGUGCCGGAGUAAACACAAUAAGUAAUCCACCUGGGGAGUAUGAUCGCAAGGUUGCAACUCAAAGGAAUUGACGGA
rnacentral:rRNA from 1 species